UACGAAGGGGGGCUAGCGUUGCUCGGAAUUACUGGGCGUAAAGCGCACGUAGGCGGACCGAUAAGUCGGGGGGUGAAAUCCUGGAGCUCAACUCCAGAACUGCCUUCGAAACUGCCGGUCUUGAGUUCGGGAGAGGUGAGUGGAACUGCGAGUGUAGAGGUGAAAUUUCGUAGAUAUUCGCAAGAACACCAGUGGCGAAGGCGGCUCACUGGCCCGAUACUGACGCUGAGGUGCGAAAGCGUGGGGAGCAAACAGG
rnacentral:rRNA from 1 species